rnacentral:rRNA from 1 species
GACGAACGCUGGCGGCGUGCCUAACACAUGCAAGUCGAACGGGGUUGAGCCCUUCGGGACUCAACUUAGUGGCGAACGGGUGAGUAACGCGUGAGAAACCUGCCUUUCAGUGGGGGGACAACAGUUGGAAACGACUGCUAAUACCGCAUAACGUAUUUAGGGGGCAUCCCUUGAAUACCAAAGCUUUAUGUGCUGAAAGAUGGUCUCGCGUCUGAUUAGCUAGAUGGCGGGGUAACGCCCACCAUGGCGACGAUCAGUAGCCGGUCUGAGAGGAUGAACGGCCACAUUGGGACUGAGAUACGGCCCAGACUCCUACGGGAGGCAGCAGUGGGGAAUAUUGGGCAAUGGGGGAAACCCUGACCCAGCAACGCCGCGUGAAGGAAGAAGGCCUCGGGUUGUAAACGUUACUUUUACGUCAGGGACGAAGGACGUGACGGUACC